UGUUAGCGGCGGACGGGUGAGUAACACGUGGAUAACCUACCUCAUAUCGACUUGGGAUAACUUCGGGAUACCGGAGCUAAUACCGGAUAAUAUCUUUGAACCGCAUGGUUCAAAAGUGAAAGACGGUCUUCGCUGUCACUUAUAGAUGGAUCCGCGCUGCAUUAGCUAGUUGGUAAGGUAACGGCUUACCAAGGCAACGAUGCAUAGCCGACCUCGAGAGGGUGAUCGGCAAACUGGAACUGAGACACGGUCCAGACUCCUACGGGAGGCAGCAGUCAGGGAAUCUUCCGCAAUGGGCGAAAGCCUGACGGAGCAACGCCGCGUGAGUGAUGAAGGUCUUCGGAUCGUAAAACUCUGUUAUUAGGGAAGAACAUAUGUGUAAGUAACUGUGCACAUCUUGACGGUACCUAAUCAGAAAGCCACGGCUAACUACGUGCCAGCAGCCGCGGUAAUACGUAGGUGGCAAGCGUUAUCCGGAAUUAUUGGGCGUAAAGCGCGCGUAGGCGGUUUUUUAAGUCUGAUGUGAAAGCCCACGGCUCAACCGUGGAGGGUCAUUGGAAACUGGAAAACUUGAGUGCAGAAGACCCCAAGUGGAAUUCCAUGUGUAGCGGUGAAAUGCGCAGAGAUAUGGAGGAACACCAGUGGCGAAGGCGACUUUCUGGUCUGUAACUGACGCUGAUGUGCGAAAGCGUGGGGAUCAAACAGGAUUAGAUACCUGGUAGUCCACGCCGUAUACGAUGCCCCGCCUAAGUGUUAGGGGUUUCCGCCCCUUAGUGCUGCAG
rnacentral:rRNA from 1 species